UACAGAGGGUGCAAGCGUUUAAUCGGAAUUACUGGGCGUAAAGCGUGCGUAGACGGUUAUUUAAGUCAGGUGUGAAAGCCCCGGGCUCAACCUGGGAAUUGCAUUUGAGACUGAAUAGCUAGGGUGCGGAAGAGGGAAGCGGAAUUUCCGGUGUAGCGGUGAAAUGCGUAGAUAUCGGAAGGAACACCAGUGGCGAAAAGCGGCUUCCUGGUCCAGCACCGACGUCAGGCACGAAAGCGUGGGGAGCAAACAGG
rnacentral:rRNA from 1 species